rnacentral:rRNA from 1 species
CCUACGGGUGGCAGCAGUGAGGAAUAUUGGUCAAUGGGCGCGAGCCUGAACCAGCCAAGUCGCGUGAGGGAAGACGGUCCUAUGGAUUGUAAACCUCUUUUGUCGGGGAGCAAAAGACGCCACGCGUGGCGUUCCGAGAGUACCCGAAGAAAAAGCAUCGGCUAACUCCGGGCCAGCAGCCGCGGUAAGACGGAGGAUGCGAGCGUUAGCCGGAUGUAUUGGGUUUAAAGGGUGCGCAGGCGGAAGAUCAAGUCAGCGGUAAAAUUGAGAGGCUCAACCUCUUCGAGCCGUUGAAACUGGUUUUCUUGAGUGAGCGAGAAGUAUGCGGAAUGCGUGGUGUAGCGGUGAAAUGCAUAGAUAUCACGCAGAACUCCGAUUGCGAAGGCAGCAUACCGGCGCUCAACUGACGCUCAUGCACGAAAGUGUGGGUAUCGAACAGGAUUAGAUACCCGGGUAGUC